ensembl:lncRNA
CCUCAAAGGGGACUGAGCUCCUUCUGGAGGGAGAGCUGGAGCAUGAGUGGGGUGCUCCCUUGCUGCCUUUGAAUAUGCAGGCCACGCGAGAUGUGGAGGUUCACAAAAAUGGAGAAAUUUCCUGGGAAAACAGGUCAUCAUUCUUUUGAAUGUUUCUUUAAAGCAAAGUGUUCCUGCUGCACCAGACUGCACCCUAAAGGACCAUCUUCCAUCAUCUCUGCAUCUCCUGCGCUUUGAAGAGUGUGUACCUCCUAUUACACACCUGGAGAUAGUUGUUGAAAUCAACUGAUUAACAAUCAAACAUAUGAACUAUUUCACACAAUGUCUAAUACCCAAACCUAGUCAUGAUACUGGCAGCGAGGGCAACAGACAUUUGGAAGCUUUUCAGUUUAGCAGGGAACUUUGGCACAUUUUUAAGCUCCAUUCCCUACUUCCUUCUUCAUUAUCAAAGAGCAUCAUUAUUUAUCAACGCUCCCACUUAAGCAAAGGAGGUAUUACCUACUGGAUUAGUUGAAAUCUUCGAGAUAUGUACCUGUGUGCCAUCCUUUUGAUGAAUUUGACCUAUAAUUUGAUCAUAUAAGAAAACAUCUCAGCAGGGGCUCUCUGAAGAAACAGGAAAGAGCUCAGGAGGCCACUGUCUCCGCUCUGCCCUGGAUCUCCACUGAACAGAAGAGAGAGGAAUGCCAGAGAAGAAAGAAGUGGGAGAGGAGGAAAUAGGAGACCUAGCAACAUGCUGGAAACUAACCUGGAGGAAGCAAAUGACACUACAGGGUGGAGGAAGCAGGGGCUGGGGCUGCAGCGAGGGAGAGGGACACAGAGAGGGCCUGUGCUUACCCCGCAGAGCCCAAGAGAACCUGGGGACUUGGGAAUGCCAUGAGCUGCUGAAGGCCGGAGGAGACAUCAAGACUGGAAAUAUGAGAACUGAUUGAAAGUCUGAUACAGAACAUAUAUGGAAUGCCACCGUGUGCCUGGCAAUGUACUAGACACCAGGGAUGCAGAAGUUACCUGUGAUAAUCAGCAAGGCUCCUGGCACCUCCAAAGGAAAAUAAAGCAGACUGUUUGAUAUAAAUAAACAUAAAAGUCAUGUAAAAACUCAAACAUCAAUUUCGUGUUCUGCUUCAGAAUGUUAACUUGAUGGAGUGGG